AUUGAACGCUGGCGGCAUGCCUUACACAUGCAAGUCGAACGGUAACAGGUCUUCGGAUGCUGACGAGUGGCGAACGGGUGAGUAAUACAACGGAACGUGCCUAGUAGUGGGGGAUAACUACUCGAAAGAGUGGCUAAUACCGCAUGAGAUCUACGGAUGAAAGCAGGGGAUCGCAAGACCUUGUGCUACUACAGCGGCCGAUGGCAGAUUAGGUAGUUGGUGGGAUAAAAGCUUACCAAGCCGACGAUCUGUAGCUGGUCUGAGAGGACGAUCAGCCACACUGGGACUGAGACACGGCCCAGACUCCUACGGGAGGCAGCAGUGGGGAAUUUUGGACAAUGGGCGAAAGCCUGAUCCAGCAAUGCCGCGUGCAGGAUGAAGGCCUUCGGGUUGUAAACUGCUUUUGUACGGAACGAAAAGCCCCGGGUUAAUACCCUGGGGUCAUGACGGUACCGUAAGAAUAAGCACCGGCUAACUACGUGCCAGCCGCCGCAGUAA
rnacentral:rRNA from 1 species